rnacentral:rRNA from 1 species
AAGCUCGUAGUUGAAUUUCGGGCCUGGCUGGGCGGUCCGCUUAACGGCGUGUACUGUCUGGCUGGGUCUUACCUCUUGGUGAGCCGGCGUGCCCUUAUUGGUGUGCGUCGGGGAACCAGGACUUUUACCUUGAGAAAAUUAGAGUGUUCAAAGCAGGCCUAUGCCCGAAUACAUUAGCAUGGAAUAAUAAAAUAGGACGUGCGGUUCUAUUUUGUUGGUUUCUAGAGUCGCCGUAAUGAUUAAUAGGGAUAGUUGGG